CUGCAAAAAUUAUCCUCAUAAGUUUGACGAAAAGAGGAACCAUUUAGUAAAAAUAAAAUAAUAUUUAAAUUUAAUUUUUUAUAUUAUUUUUAUAAUACUAUGAUGGUGGCACAAAAUCGGAGGCCCCGACUGUUUACUAAAAACACAAUUCAGAGCAAUGAUGUAAAUCAUAGUAUUCUGGAUGAAAUUUGCCCAAUGCCAUUAACAUAAAAGAGGUAAUAGGAAACUGUUACUAAUUGAAAGUCUGGUUAAUAGCGGUCUUAACUAUGAGGAUCCUAAGGUAGCAAAAUCAGUUGGCCAUUAAAUGUGGUCUGGUAUCAAUAGUGUAACGAUGGUCUCACUGUCUCUACAACUUGCUCAGUGAAAUUGAAUUACCCGUGCAGAUGCGGGUUGCCUCCAGGUGGACGGGAAGACCCUAUGCAGCUUCUACUCGG
rnacentral:rRNA from 1 species